UCCUGUUUGAGUUCCUGUCUUGAUUG
rnacentral:piRNA from 1 species